GAUGAACGCUGGCGGCGUGCCUAAUACAUGCAAGUCGAGCGAACAGACGAGGAGCUUGCUCCCCUGCCGUUAGCGGCGGACGGGUGAGUAACACGUGGAUAACCUACCUCUAAUACUGGGAUAACUUCGGGAAACCGGAGCUAAUACCGGAUAAUAUAUUCAACCGCAUGGUUCAAUAGUGAAUGACGGUUUUGCUGUCACUUUUAGAUGGAUCCGCGCCGCAUUAGCUAGUUGGUAAGGUAACGGCUUACCAAGGCAACGAUGCGUAGCCGACCUGAGAGGGUGAUCGGCCACACUGGAACUGAGACACGGUCCAGACUCCUACGGGAGGCAGCAGUAGGGAAUCUUCCGCAAUGGGCGAAAGCCUGACGGAGCAACGCCGCGUGAGUGAUGAAGGUCUUCGGAUCGUAAAACUCUGUUAUUAGGGAAGAACAAAUGUGUAAGUAACUAUGCACGUCUUGACGGUACCUAAUCAGAAAGCCACGGCUAACUACGUG
rnacentral:rRNA from 1 species